GACGGAGGAUGCAAGUGUUAUCCGGAAUCACUGGGCGUAAAGCGUCUGUAGGUGGUUCGAAAAGUCCACUGUUAAAAAUUGAGGCUUAACCUCAAGAUGCCGUGGAAACUUUCAAACUAGAGUAUGGUAGGGGUAGAGGGAAUUUCCAGUGGAGCGGUGAAAUGCGUAGAUAUUGGAAAGACCACCGAUGGCGAAGGCACUCUACUGGGCCAUUACUGACACUGAGAGACGAAAGCUAGGGGAGCAAAUGGG
rnacentral:rRNA from 1 species